GGGGAAUUUUCCGCAAUGGGCGAAAGCCUGACGGAGCAAUACCGCGUGAGGGAAGACUGCCUAUGGGUUGUAAACCUCUUUUUUCAGGGAGGAAUUCAAUGACGCGUACCUGAAGAAUAAGCAUCGGCUAACUCCGUGCCAGCAGCCGCGGUAAUACGGAGGAUGCAAGCGUUAUCCGGAAUGAUUGGGCGUAAAGCGUCCGCAGGUGGCAAUGUAAGUCUGCUGUUAAAGAGUGAGGCUCAACCUCAUAAGAGCAGUGGAAACUACAUAGCUAGAGUACGUUCGGGGCAGAGGGAAUUCCUGGUGUAGCGGUGAAAUGCGUAGAGAUCAGGAAGAACACCGGUGGCGAAGGCGCUCUGCUAGGCCGUAACUGACACUGAGGGACGAAAGCUAGGGGAGCG
rnacentral:rRNA from 1 species